rnacentral:misc_RNA from 1 species
AUGGCAUUGAUAGCCAUCAUGCAUAACCAAUAAUUGAUUGUCUUUUGAAAUUCUAGCAAUAAAGAACAUGCAAAUAUGUAUUUUCCAUCCAUCUGAUAUUCAAACUUUGUUCAAGUGAUUAUGUUUUUGUUAAUUUCAGAAUGGAGAUGAGAAUGUGGGUCUUUUUAAUUUGUGCAAUAACAUGAAGUUCGACACUUCAUAAAAUUGAUUUGCUAGGUAAAUGCAUCUGUUAUCUCAAGUAAUUAGCUCCUUGGAGAUUGGACAGUGUUUUGUUCUCAUGUGCAAGAGCAAGAAGAUUGGAUGAUUGAGGUUACUGACUGAGAAUUCCUAUCCCAGUCAUUAGUUCUUGGUCUCAAGGCCUCUCUUUUCAAUUGCAAUGCAAGUGCAUGUUCUUGUACUAAAAAAGUCUGCAGUAUAGAGAUUCUGACGUGUUAUUGGUCAUAAUUUUUUACAGAAAGCUUCUUUUUUUUUUGUGUGUGAAUUCAUUUUCAUUCCAGUUAGAUGUGCAUGCACAAAAAGAGCUGUAAAUGCUGGAUAACAUUCCUAUAUGAAAUGAAAAUAUUAGAAAUAGCUGGCACGGUAUGUUCAUUGUUUUUAAUUAGUGGUACCAUAGUAAAUGGUCUUUUCAGACAGAAGGCUGAAGGCUCUUUAGUUGGUCAA